UACGUAGGGUGCAAGCGUUAAUCGGAAUUACUGGGCGUAAAGCGUGCGCAGGCGGUUUUGUAAGUCUGACGUGAAAUCCCCGGGCUCAACCUGGGAAUUGCGUUGGAGACUGCAAGGCUGGAGUCUGGCAGAGGGGGGUAGAAUUCCACGUGUAGCAGUGAAAUGCGUAGAGAUGUGGAGGAACACCGAUGGCGAAGGCAGCCCCCUGGGUCAAGACUGACGCUCAUGCACGAAAGCGUGGGGAGCAAACAGGG
rnacentral:rRNA from 1 species